rnacentral:lncRNA from 1 species
CCGUAUCUUCUUGGUCAGUUACUUAGCAAUAAAGGAACAAAAAUUGAUCCGACAUAUAUUCUCUUUCUUUUCUUUUCUUUUUCUUUUUUUGUGAUUACUUUUUUGAGUAUACAAUGUUCGACUGCUACAAUUAUUAUAAACUAGCUCUAUUGAGCUUAAAUAUAGAUAAUUUGCUUAAUUCAUCUAUUAUUUUAUGGGUUUGAUAUAAAAUAAUAAAAUUGAGUCAAUC